UACGGGGGGGGCAAGCGUUGUCCGGAAUCAUUGGGCGUAAAGCGCGCGUAGGCGGCCAGAUAAGUCCGGUGUGAAAGCCACAGGCUCAACCUGUGAAUGCCGCUGGAAACUGUCUGGCUAGAGUCCGGGAGGGGCGAGUGGAAUUCCUGGUGUAGCGGUGAAAUGCGCAGAUAUCAGGAGGAACACCAAUGGCGAAGGCAGCUCGCUGGAACGGAACUGACGCUGAGGCGCGAAAGCGUGGGGAGCGAACAGG
rnacentral:rRNA from 1 species